GCCCGCCUAGCUCAAUCGGAUAGAGCGUCAGACUCUUAGGCGGGUGUUGAUUACGCUCACUUGUAAUCUGAAGGCUGCGAGUUCGACCCUCGCGGUGGGCU